AUGAACGCUGGCGGCGUGCCUAAUACAUGCAAGUCGAGCGAACAGACGAGGAGCUUGCUCCUCUGACGUUAGCGGCGGACGGGUGAGUAACACGUGGAUAACCUACCUAUAAGACUGGGAUAACUUCGGGAAACCGGAGCUAAUACCGGAUAAUAUAUUGAACCGCAUGGUUCAAUAGUGAAAGACGGUUUUGCUGUCACUUAUAGAUGGAUCCGCGCCGCAUUAGCUAGUUGGUAAGGUAACGGCUUACCAAGGCGACGAUGCGUAGCCGACCUGAGAGGGUGAUCGGCCACACUGGAACUGAGAAACGGUCCAGACUCCUACGGGAGGCAGCAGGAGGGGAUCUUCCGCAAUGGGCGAAAGCCUGACGGGGCAAAGCCGCGUGAGUGAUGAAGGUCCUCGGAUCGUAAAACUCUGUUAUUAGGGAAGAACAAAUGUGUAAGUAACUAUGCACGUCUUGACGGUACCUAAUCAGAAAGCCACGGCUAACUACGUG
rnacentral:rRNA from 1 species